rnacentral:rRNA from 1 species
CAUGCAAGUCGAGCGGAUGACGGGAGCUUGCUCCUUGAUUCAGCGGCGGACGGGUGAGUAAUGCCUAGGAAUCUGCCUGGUAGUGGGGGACAACGUUUCGAAAGGAACGCUAAUACCGCAUACGUCCUACGGGAGAAAGCAGGGGACCUUCGGGCCUUGCGCUAUCAGAUGAGCCUAGGUCGGAUUAGCUAGUUGGUGGGGUAAUGGCUCACCAAGGCGACGAUCCGUAACUGGUCUGAGAGGAUGAUCAGUCACACUGGAACUGAGACACGGUCCAGACUCCUACGGGAGGCAGCAGUGGGGAAUAUUGGACAAUGGGCGAAAGCCUGAUCCAGCCAUGCCGCGUGUGUGAAGAAGGUCUUCGGAUUGUAAAGCACUUUAAGUUGGGAGGAAGGGCAGUAAAUUAAUACCUUGCUGUUUUGACGUUACCGACAGAAUAAGCACCGGCUAACUCUGUGCCAGCAGCCGCGGUAAUACAGAGGGUGCAAGCGUUAAUCGGAAUUACUGGGCGUAAAGCGCGCGUAGGUGGUUUGUUAAGUUGGAUGUGAAAGCCCCGGGCUCAACCUGGGAACUGCAUCCAAAACCGGCAAGCUAGAGUACGGUAGAGGGUGGUGGAAUUUCCUGUGUAGCGGUGAAAUGCGUAGAUAUAGGAAGGAACACCAGUGGCGAAGGCGACCACCUGGACUGAUACUGACACUGAGGUGCGAAUGCGUGGGGAGCAAACAGGAUUAGAUACCCUGGUAGUCCACGCCGUAAACGAUGUCAACUGGCCGUUGGAAUCCUUGAGAUUUUAGUGGCGCAGCUAACGCAUUAAGUUGACCGCCUGGGGAGUACGGCCGCAAGGUUAAAACUCAAAUGAAUUGACGG